CUCGUUCCGAACGGACCUGGGGUAGGGCAAGGAGCGCUCCUCUUUUGCUACCUCUCUGCUCUCCGAUCUUCUCUAACGGUGCUAAUGGUGGCCGGCGAGUCUUGAUGGUGGCUGGUGAGGCCAAUCGAGGCUGAUUGUCUAACUGCGGAAGAUAGCAAUAGGUUCCUCUUCCGCAGCAGCACUGGAUCAGCUGUAAGAUGGCGCACCGCCAGGUUAAGAGGCGUCAUCAGCCACAAGCACUCCGUACCUUCGGUGCCACCUGCUCUGCGUUGUUACAAACUUUGUCAGCCACCCAUAUAUGACAGGUUGGACUCCAGGGGACCUGGAGAUCUCACCUCCUGCAUAUCGUGUGUUUGUUGAAACAUCAAAUAUAGCUAUGUAAUACGCUCUCUCUCUCUCUCUCUCUUAUUAUUUUAUAGUUUGGAUUCGGGUUGAAAGAAUCUAUGUCACUGGUGUCCUCCCACUAAUUGGUUGCCUUUAUCUUAUAAAGGAA